GAUGAACGCUAGCGGCAGGCCUAACACAUGCAAGUCGAGGGGCAUCGCGGUGCAGCAAUGCACUGGCGGCGACCGGCGUACGGAUGCGUAACGCGUAUGCAACCUGCCCCGCACCGGGGGAUAGCCCGCCGAAAGGCGGAUUAAUACCCCAUGGCCCCGGGGGCCCGCAUGGGCAUCCGGGUAAAGCCUUGGCGGUGCGGGAUGGGCAUGCGUGCCAUUAGCUGGCUGGUGGGGUAACGGCCCACCAGGGCAACGAUGGCUAGGGGGUCUGAGAGGAUGGUCCCCCACACUGGUACUGAGACACGGACCAGACUCCUACGGGAGGCAGCAGUGAGGAAUAUUGGUCAAUGGGCGGAAGCCUGAACCAGCCAUGCCGCGUGCGGGAUGAAGGCCCUACGGGUUGUAAACCGCUUUUCCCCGGGAAGAAUAACCCCGAUGAGUCGGGGGAUGCCGGUACCGGGGGAAUAAGGAUCGGCUAACUCCGUG
rnacentral:rRNA from 1 species